AGUCGUACGCUUCUUUUUCCACCGGAGCUUGCUCCACCGGAAAAAGAGGAGUGGCGAACGGGUGAGUAACACGUGGGUAACCUGCCCAUCAGAAGGGGAUAACACUUGGAAACAGGUGCUAAUACCGUAUAACAAUCGAAACCGCAUGGUUUUGAUUUGAAAGGCGCUUUCGGGUGUCGCUGAUGGAUGGACCCGCGGUGCAUUAGCUAGUUGGUGAGGUAACGGCUCACCAAGGCCACGAUGCAUAGCCGACCUGAGAGGGUGAUCGGCCACAUUGGGACUGAGACACGGCCCAAACUCCUACGGGAGGCAGCAGUAGGGAAUCUUCGGCAAUGGACGAAAGUCUGACCGAGCAACGCCGCGUGAGUGAAGAAGGUUUUCGGAUCGUAAAACUCUGUUGUUAGAGAAGAACAAGGAUGAGAGUAACUGUUCAUCCCUUGACGGUAUCUAACCAGAAAGCCACGGCUAACUACGUGCCAGCAGCCGCGGUAAUACGUAGGUGGCAAGCGUUGUCCGGAUUUAUUGGGCGUAAAGCGAGCGCAGGCGGUUUCUUAAGUCUGAUGUGAAAGCCCCCGGCUCAACCGGGGAGGGUCAUUGGAAACUGGGAGACUUGAGUGCAGAAGAGGAGAGUGGAAUUCCAUGUGUAGCGGUGAAAUGCGUAGAUAUAUGGAGGAACACCAGUGGCGAAGGCGGCUCUCUGGUCUGUAACUGACGCUGAGGCUCGAAAGCGUGGGGAGCAAACAGGAUUAGAUACCCUGGUAGUCCACGCCGUAAACGAUGAGUGCUAAGUGUUGGAGGGUUUCCGCCCUUCAGUGCUGCAGCUAACGCAUUAAGCACUCCGCCUGGGGAGUACGACCGCAAGGUUGAAACUCAAAGGAAUUGACGGGGGCCCGCACAAGCGGUGGAGCAUGUGGUUUAAUUCGAAGCAACGCGAAGAAACCUUACCAGGUCUUGACAUCCUUUGACCACUCUAGAGAUAGAGCUUCCCCUUCGGGGGCAAAGUGACAGGUGGUGCAUGGUUGUCGUCAGCUCGUGUCGUGAGAUGGUUGGGUUAAGUCCCGCAACGAGCGC
rnacentral:rRNA from 1 species